GCGCAACAAUAAUGGAUGCAGAUACAGUAUCUGUCAAGAGAAAUCAUUUGCAUGAUUUGAAAGAAAUUCAAAAAACCUGGCAAAAUGUCGAAAAUAAUAUAAAAACUAUAGGUUUUGGAGAUGGGUUAUCCUUUGGAAGAAACAGCACUUUCCAGGAAUAUUUCGACCAGGGUUUUAUUGAGGGUUUCCGGGCGGCGUAUUCAGUUGGAGAAUUUAACGGAUCUUUAUUUUGUGAGUUAACACAGAACAAAAAGGAACAUCUGGAGAAGCAUCCAGUGAACGCAAAAACAGCGUGGUGUCAACUUUGUGAAAAUAAGGAACUUUUCAAUAGAAGCAUUGCUGAAGUUGUUGCUCAACAAACGGAAAUAAAUGAUAGAAACUUAAAACAAUUACAGGAUGGAAUCUGAAAAAACUGCUAUUUAUUGAUUUAUUAGUUGAAUUAAAAGUACACAAAAAGUU